GUGGAGUUAAUCAAGAGAAGAAUUGUUGGUCUCCAUCAGAUCACAGCAAUUGGAUCCACAGACAUAACUGAUACAUGGGAGCCCCUUGAGGAAGGCCUCCUUCCUUUGGAAACCACUAGGCAUGUGUCAAUGAUUACGAUUACCCUUUCCAUGAAGGAACUGAAUACAUCUGCUGUUGGGUACCAGUCUCCCUUACCUGCAGAACUGGUGAAGGGAUCAGCAGAAUUUGAUUAUGAAGGAGAGGGCUCACCAAAUGGCCGAGGUAGGAGUCGAGGUGGUAGAGGGAGGGCAAAGGGUAGAGGAAAUGGAUUUGUUAUCGUAUAUGAAGAUGGCGGUUGGGAUCGCAACAGGGGCCAUUUCAGAGGUAGGGGAAGAGGACGAGGACGGAGUUUCCGAGGCCGUGGGAGAGGAGGGUACAAUGGACCUCAUGCUGACAUGCAGCAAGAUGGAGGUUACAAUUAUGAUGCACCUGCUCAAGGCCGUGGUCGUGGCCGCGGGAGGGGAAAUCGUGGAAGGGGCCGCGGAUUUAGAUCCAAUGGGCCGAUCCAGGCAACUGCGUGAGAUGCUCAUGUGGCUUUCCUUUGAUUGCAGUGCUGUUGACCAUGUUUUAUGUCUUCUCCAAUAUCAUAUUUUAUUAGUCUCUUUUAUCC
rnacentral:misc_RNA from 1 species